GAAAAGAAAAGAAAAGAAAAGAAAAGAAAAGAAAAGAAAAGAAAAGAAAAGAAAAAGAAAGAAAGAACAGACAUGACACUGCAAGUAGUAAUGUCAAUCUGGGGUGGGGGGGAAGGUCUCAAGAUAAUUUUAAUCAGCUGGAAAACACAGGGACAUGUACAAUGAACUCACGUUUGGGGACUUCAGUUGAGGAACAUUGGGUGCAUUUGAGGAUCCUUAUGAGAUGCUAAGGACAAUAUUCUUCCAAGGACGUGAACCUAACCAACAGCAAUACUGUGGGUCACUGUUGCUGACUAUUCAGCCAUUUAGGAGACUUCAGAAUUUAAGAAGUAAUAUGAAAAACAACCCAUAUUAAAAAAAAAAUUCCUCUGCCAUACCUCCAAAAAGGUUUAAAAAAAAGUUCUAAAGAACUAAAUAAUUGUAUUCAGUUGAAUACUGAGGUAGCUUGAUCUUGAAAGCUUUGUAUCCUUGCAUUGUAUUUGCAUUAUUAGAGCUCUAGAAUAAGGUUUAUGCUUUAAAUUUCUGAUCUCUUAUCUGUAACAGUCCUAGUAAACAUUAGCCUCAUCCAGAAAUUUCCAGUGGGGCAGGGAACACCAUUUACAUGGAAACUUGAUGGCCCUAAAUCUGUCCUAACAACUAGUCACCGUUACUUCCUUCAGGAACCUUUCUUAAUUUCUCCAGGCUCAAUAAGUGAUUCUGAUGUGUUUCAAUAACCUUUUUUCAUAUCUCCAUAUUGGCACUUUUUACACAGCUUUCUAAUUAUGUCUUUUUUGGCUUAUUGCCCUCUCUAGCUGUGAGCUCAUAAAGUAAUCUCUUUCAUCACUGAUUUCCCAGCACUUACUGUGCACUUCGGUUGAAGGAAUGAUAGAACAAAUGAAUGAGUGAAUGAGCUAAUUCAAUUACUUCUGUUGCAUUUUGAAGGUGCGGGGUGAGUAUGCCUAGAAUUGGGAUGAAGCCAAACUUGCUCUAAAGAAUGAGUUAGAUAUAAUAACAUGGCACAAUAAUAAUGCAUAACAUUUUUUAAUCCAUAACAAAUUAAUUUCCUCAUUUAACAAUUACAGCACCCCUGUAAUUAUGUAUUAUUAUUUCCAUCUUGCAGAUGAGAAAGAUUGUGGCACAUAGAGGUUAAUUACCCAAGAUCUAUGAUCCCUUAUAUGGCAGAGCAAGAUACUCAAUUUGAUACUCAAUCCAUAUAUCUAGGGUGCACAUUCAUAUCCCACUGAGCUAUAAUGCCUUCAACCAUACUCAGGAUUAGGAAACAGGGAAGAAAGCAUUUCUUAAAUUUAGGGGACAGGAACAACAUGGCAUUUAUAACUGAGAUGAGUCUCCUCCUCCUCUUAACCAUGGCCAUCAUGGAUUCAUGUUAUAAUCUUCCAAAACAGAGCUAAUAUUAAGCAAAGAUGCACCAGUAUGGUUGUCCCAUCCACUAACAAGCAUCCAAUCUGAUUGUUCAGAUUAUACUUAGGAUCAAUUCUGAAUGGUUUGACCUGUGCUAUAUCAUUUGUUAUAUAUAUUACCCUAAAAUAACAUCAAACAAUAUAAAAUAGAGUUUAUUCCUCAAAAACACCAUCGGGCACCUCUCAAGUUUUCAUAUAGAUCCCUAUGAUGACAAAACAGGUGGGAAAGCAUUCUCCUCCCUUGUAUACUUAACACAAUGUCAUUCAGCACAUAUUCUGUGGAUAUAUUCUUGAAAUAUAUCCUAUAUUUGAAGGGCACCAUAUUUUAUGACUCUGCUCUGGCACUUUCAGGGUUCAAGAACAUCAGCAGGGCUAUGGCAGUGGCAGCUAUGUCUAAAAGGAAGCACUUGGCUGUAAUCCCUGGAGGCAGAGCCAAGACCCCUUCACUCAACUAUGUAAGCAUCAAAGGUAUCCACAACAGAUGGAAAUACCACAGGGGGCUAAAACAGAAAAACAAGAAGAUGGAGAAUAUCACCUGGUGACUGAUGGCACUUCAUGAGUACAUGGGAAAUAUCCACUGGUACCUCUCAAACAAAUUGGAAAGACUGCAAAGAGAUGGAGAUACUGCAGUGGAUGGAGUGAGGAAGAUACUGCGGUGGGUGGAGAAAUAUAGAAAUCUUGAUUCCUAGAUGAGAAAAAAUGCAAAGGUCUCUCUAUCUCAACUUUUACAACUUCAGAUAGAACACAUAUUUUACAUCUUCUCAGAAACUCAGAAAGAAUAUGAUUGGAAAUGAAUGGCUGGAAUCACCAUGUGAUGAAUCAUGUACCAAAUGGCACAUGGAUGGUGACUAAUCCUUGAAGCCAAAGCUGAUAAAUGACUUCCAUUGAACAGUGACUGGAAGAUACAAGACUUUCUGUGAUUCUGUUAUUCUAUCUGUGAUUAGAGAGUUGUGACAACCUCUGCUCAUCAGAGGUUGGAUGACCUGUUCUGUAGUGGUUAAGGUGGAAGGCAAAUUGCUUUUUUGUUUUUGCUUAUUUCCUGUUUAUGCUAUUUAACAAAAUUGAAUCACACUGGAUAAGACAUUUAAUUAUUCUAAGCUUAAUUUCCUUACCCAGAAAAUGAGGAUAAUAAUACAGUAUCACUUUUAUAAGGGAGAUGUGAAGAUUAAACAUAAUAAUGGAUAUAAAGUACUCAACACAUGUCUAGAGCAUAUCAAGUGCUCCUAAUGUUGUUACUGUUUCUAAAUUUGAAUUUUCUUCCUUGUGCUCAAAAAUGAUCCUUUUAAACUUGUUUUGUUGAAUGUUAUGAUUACAUUUACCUAACUCCAUUCCCUAUAAUUUCAUCUUCUCCAUUGUUUUAAAUUGCUUCUGAACCUCUUAAAAAUCACAUUUAAGUGAUUCAUAUGGGACAGUGACCACAUUCACAACACAUCAACAGCUUUGGUUUCCUUGAGGACAGGGACUAAUGUUUUCUUCCUCCCUGCUGCAUCAUCACCACCUGGAACAGUGAGUGCCUGACACAUAACUGGUGUUCAAGAAAUAUUUGUUGAAUGAAUGAAACGAGUUGGAAAUAAUUUAGUAAGACUAUACUAUUCUACAGAGACAUCUAGUAGGGAAGACACACAUAUAAACCAGUCACUUGGUAGUGUGAUGAGAAGUUUAUUCCCUGGGAACCAUGGGAGCAAUGUGGAUGCCAUUUAAGGCCUCAUCACUAAGACUUGUUAUCAGAUUCAUUUCCGGCCAAUUCAACUAGAUGACCUUAUUUUCAUGACUUCUUUUAUGACUAGACUUGUGGCAUAUAUCACUCCAUUCUGUUUCCUAGGAUAAGGAGAUAAAGCAGCAAGUGUUUGCCUCUGAUAAAAUGAAAAAGAACUGAAAAACUCUACUAUUAAUCUUAUAAGAAAUAUAUAGACAGGCAUGACUUGUACAUAAGCAAAGGAAAUCUUUUUUUCUCUAUUUUUUCUUCAAUACUAAUUUUGCUACCCCUUGGGCUCUAAUCAGAUUAGGAAUUUGGCAAUUAAAUUAGAAAAUAAAUUCUAGUGGUAUAUAAAACUUGUAAAAAUAGAAUGGCUUAAUCAGCCUCUUCAAACAUUAUAGGCAAAGGCCCGUCCUUUCAAUGUUAACCUUAAAUGAAGUACCCAUUAAAUCUGAAUUGUUUUUA